rnacentral:rRNA from 1 species
UCAGUGACUCCGCCUUCGAUACCUUACCCCCGCUUCCUGUCGACUUUGAUGAGACAGCACCGUAACUUCGGGAGAAGGUGUGCCCUCAUUAGGUGAAGAGACUUGCUCUCGGAGCCGAAGGGGGUUGCAGUGACCAGGUGGCUGCGACUGUUUAUUAAAAACAUAGCACUCUGCAAACGCGAAAGCGGACGUAUAGGGUGUGACGCCUGCCCGGUGCCGGAAGGUUAAUUGAUGGGGUUAGCGCAAGCGAAGCUCUUGAUCGAAGCCCCGGUAAACGGCGGCCGUAACUAUAACGGUCCUAAGGUAGCGAAAUUCCUUGUCGGGUAAGUUCCGACCUGCACGAAUGGCGUAACGAUGGCCACACUGUCUCCACCAGAGACUCAGUGAAAUUGAAAUUGCGGUUAAGAUGCCGUAUACCCGCGGCUAGACGGAAAGACCCCGUGAACCUUUACUACAGCUUUGCACUGAACUUUGAGCCUGCUUGUGUAGGAUAGGUGGGAGGCUUUGAAACCGUGACGCCAGUUGCGGUGGAGCCAUCCUUGAAAUACCACCCUGGCAUGUUUGAGGUUCUAACCCAGGUCCGUUAUCCGGAUCGGGGACAGUGUAUGGUGGGUAGUUUGACUGGGGCGGUCUCCUCCCAAAGAGUAACGGAGGAGCACGAAGGUACCCUAAGCAUGGUCGGACAUCAUGCGGUUAGUGCAAUGGCAUAAGGGUGCUUAACUGCGAGACAGACACGUCGAGCAGGUGCGAAAGCAGGUCAUAGUGAUCCGGUGGUUCUGUAUGGAAGGGCCAUCGCUCAACGGAUAAAAGGUACUCCGGGGAUAACAGGCUGAUACCGCCCAAGAGUUCAUAUCGACGGCGGUGUUUGGCACCUCGAUGUCGGCUCAUCACAUCCUGGGGCUGUAGCCGGUCCCAAGGGUAUGGCUGUUCGCCAUUUAAAGUGGUACGCGAGCUGGGUUUAGAACGUCGUGAGACAGUUCGGUCCCUAUCUGCCGUGGGCGUUUGAGAAUUGAGAGGAGCUGCUCCUAGUACGAGAGGACCGGAGUGGACGUACCUCUGGUGUUCCGGUUGUCAUGCCAAUGGCACUGCCGGGUAGCUAUGUACGGACGGGAUAACCGCUGAAAGCAUCUAAGCGGGAAGCCCCCCUCGAGAUAAGUUCUCACUGGGACCUUGAGUCCCCUGAAGGGUCGUCGAAGACUACGACGUUGAUAGGCUGGGUGUGGAAGUGCAGCAAUGUAUGAAGCUAACCAGUACUAAUUGCCCGUGAGGCUUGACCAU